rnacentral:tmRNA from 1 species
GGGGGCGACCUGGCUUCGACGUGGGUCACAAAACCUAAGGUGCAUGCCGAGGUGCGGUGCCCUCGUUAAUCACGCUGCAAAACUUUAGUUGCCAACGACGACAACUACGCUUUAGCAGCUUAAAAACCUGCGUAAAGCCUUCCGCCCGGCUUCGUGCCCAUACGACCGGAUCACGGGAGUCACCCNNNNNNNNNNNNNNNNNNNNNNUUCGAUUCCCGCCGCCUCCACCAAGCCAAGCAAAUGGGCCGCCUCGUGCGGCCCAUUUGCUUGGCUGAUGUCAUCGGCCAUACGGGCAACGCAGAGCGGCUACGAUGUGUUGUUCCUGGUGCGCUGCCAAGGGGUACGAGGUGCUGGGCUACCGAGAAACGCAGGAAUUUCCGACCGCUCACAUAUCAGAAUCGACAGAGUGUGGCCUGGUGGACACAGUCUUCUGGCGCAGCGCAUCGACGACAUCCAGCUCAAUGCGAUUGCGGCCGUGCUGCUUGGCCCGGUAGAGCGCGCGAUCGGCUCGCUCCAGCAAAAGGGGCGGUGAUUCACCAGCCGUAUACAGCGCCAGACCGCAUGAAAAGGUCGGCAGCGGCAGG